UUACGUCACUUCUCAGGCGUACUAUUCGAAUUAGAUCAGUUGCGUGCUCCGCCUGCCACAGGCGGACGUAUUAUAAGUUGUUGUAAGUGUUAUUUUCAGUUUUGUGAAGCGGUUUUAUUUUUAUUUUAUUAAUAUUUUUUUGAGUUUUACAUUCAUUCACGUUAUGCUGCAUCAAUAUAAGAAUGAAUUAAGAAGCCAAUUCAUAAACAUGUACUGCGAGGUCGGCCAGUUAGCGAGACCCCUCCGGUAGAGCACUUCCUCCCCUCUCUGUCGCCGGUCGUUAUGUAUUGAGGGGGAGGGGAGGGGUCUGGUUGAGUGGCGCCGGACCUGACUGUGGGCGGAAUCGACCUACAUAGAGUAAUAAUCGCUAGAUGCGUCUUUGAGGCGCCGCGAAGCCUCUGUGGGCGGCUGUACUGUCCUCGAUCUUAUCCAAACGAUACUGCUCAAGCAAAUUUAUAAUAUAUAUAUAUAUAAAUAUUUCCUAUAGUAUCACUUAUACAUUAUCGUGAGAGAAGCCGGUAUUAGUCUAAUAAAAUAAAGCGAAGUAUGACCUUAGCAGGAUAUUUCGUACGUCCGUCAAUAAUGUUUGUGAUCCGCAGAACAGUUCGUUAACUUACAAAAGUUUCGUAUUAACGGCGACGUGAACAGUUUUAUUUGAAGUUUCGUUCGUGAGUUCUGAUUUCCAUCGUGUCAACUGCUGGUUCACACGGACUGACAUUUUAAUUACAUUUUAUAAUAUGUGUUAUUAAUUUAUAUGUUAUAUCUUUUUUUACUGUCAGCUACUGGCUUCUCAAAACUAUAACAGACCUUAAAGUAUUUGGUAUUUUUAAAUAAGUCCAUGUUUUGGCUCUUCAUUCAUUUGCCGAUUAUAAUUUAAACUCUGCUAGACGUUUCCUAUAUAUGAUACUAACUACUUGAUACUUAAUGUUUGUUCGUUGUGAUACUAUUUUAAUAUAUUGAAAAACAGAAAUUAUCUCGUAAAGAUAAAAGCGGUUUAAACUAUUUAACAUGCCUGUAUGUAGAUAAUACAAAUGUUAAGUAAUUCGAUGUUCCGAGGGGAAGAGGCAGGAAGUAGUUUUUGUAUAUAAACGGUUAUUGAUGGAAAGAUUCUGUAAUGACAUCUUAAUAAUGAAUUAAAACGUAUACCUUUAUAAUAAUAAACAUAAAUAAAUACUUUAAGAAAGCUUCCAUAUAAACAAUUUGAAAGUUUACGUAUAAAUUCACACACACACACACACACACACACACACACACACUAACAAUUCCAAUUUAUUAUAUAAUUCGCGUAGUUAACAAUUUAGUGUCAAUCCGUCCUGCGCCCGCGCAUGCUAUGAGUCAGCCGGUCACGUGCACAUCUGCCGCUCUACAUAUUGUCAUUGUAUACAAUAAUGAACAUUAUUUCCAUAUAUAUAAUAAAUAAUAUAUUUCUAUAAUA